GGGGAUGUAGCUUAGUGGUAAAGCCUCUGCCUUCCAAGCAGAUGAUGCGGGUUCGAUUCCCGUCAUCCCCUCCA
rnacentral:tRNA from 4 species